GAAAUGCGAUAAGUAAUGUGAAUUGCAGAAUUCAGUGAAUCAUCGAAUCUUUGAACGCACAUUGCGCCUAUUAGUAUUCUAAUAGGCAUGCCUGUUCGAGCGUCAUUUCAACCCUUAAGCCCUGCUUAGUGUUGGGAGUCUACACCUGGGCGGACCUACCCUGUAGUGCCGUCCUCGUAGCUCCUCAAAUUUAGCGGCGGAGUUGUAGUAUCCUCUGAGCGUAGUAAUUAUCAUCUCGCUUUUGUUAGGUGCUACGGCCCUUGCCGUUAAACCCCCUAUUUUUUUGUGGUUGACCUCGGAUCAGGUAGGAAUACCCGCUGAACUUAA
rnacentral:misc_RNA from 1 species